UACUAAAUAUAUUGAGAGAUUUUGAAUAAAGGAGUAUUUUUAACAUUUAAAGAGAAUGUAAUUUUACAUACCAUUGUGAACAAAAGCGGUAAAUACGUUGCUGCUUCAAAUUAUCCUUAUAUAUCUAAAUCAUAUACAGGGGUGUUUAUCUUUAAAACAAAACACUGGAAAGAUUAACUAUGUUACUAUUUCAUCUAUCAUUAUUAUACAAACUAUAACAAAUGUAAAGAUUUUUCCACAGAUUUUACCUGUUAACAUUUUUAGCACAACAGCACCUGAUGUCAGUGAGAUGUCUAUCACUGAGAUGUUACAAAGAUUCCAAUACAGCAAAAAGAGGCGUUCCUGAGAAUCCACUUCAAUUGCUGUAUCAACAUAACAUUUACUAUAACGGGAUCCAUGUCACUUAAGACAGUGUCUUGGAAAUGCUGUCAAUCAAUUUAUUCCGUAAAAGAAUAUCGGAGAGAGUAUCCAAUCUAUACACAUCAUAAACGGUGUAAAAAUGUUUCAUGGAAAAAACAAAAUAAAAAAAGACAAAGACAAAGACAAAUACCAACACCAUCACCACGGUGAUAACAGAUGAUGCUGAUUCAAUAUCUGCAACCAAUUCUAGCCAAAUAUUUGGAAAGCUGGACUCUACAACCUAUACUCUACAACAAAUACCUGGGUAUUCUACAAACACAACCUCCAGCAAUAUCUAAGGAAUGUAAACUUCUACAGGCCUUUAAAGACUUUGGAUUACAAAUACAAUUACUAUUUUUAACUUUGGAUUUACAAUUCGUAUCCGGAUCCAUCCAAGAAUAUAUUACUCUGGAACUUGGUGUUCUUUUCAAUUCUUUCCCAGACAAAAGCUUUGCUCAUUUUAAUCAACCACCUUUACAGGCAAAGAUCACACUACGGAUAUUUUACUGUUACAACAAUGAUCUAAGAUGCUGGGAGCAUAAAAAACCUAAAGACUGUUGGAGAACUUUGGUUUACUAAUUUAAGGAAGAAAUGCGCUACAAUGCCCACAGUUUAAUGGAGAGGGUGUUAUGGGAAAAUACAAAUAUUACAAGUUUUAGAAUGAAAUGUUGUAUUUCUUAAACUGUGUACUUUGUCUUUAAGAGAUA